rnacentral:rRNA from 1 species
UACAGGUGCUGCAUGGCUGUCGGUCAGCUCGUGUCAUGAGAUGUUGGGUUAAGUCCCGCAACGAGCGCAACCCUCGCCCUUAGUUGCCAGCAUUUAGUUGGGCACCCUAAGGGGACUGCCGGUGAUAAGCCGAGAGGAAGGUGGGGAUGACGUCAAGUCCUCAUGGCCCUUACGGGCUGGGCUACACACGUGCUACAAUGGUGGUGACAGUGGGCAGCGAGCACGCGAGUGUGAGCUAAUCUCCAAAAGCCAUCUCAGUUCGGAUUGCACUCUGCAACUCGAGUGCAUGAAGUUGGAAUCGCUAGUAAUCGCGGAUCAGCAUGCCGCGGUGAAUACGUUCCCGGGCCUU